GGAGCGGUGUCCGAGAGGUUGAAGGAGGCGGUCUUGAAAACCGUUGUGCCGCAAGGUACCGGGGGUUCGAAUCCCCCCUGCUCCG
rnacentral:tRNA from 1 species